CCAAUAGCGUAUAUUAAAGUUGUUGCAGUUAAAAAGCUCGUAGUUGAAUUUCGGGGUUAGUAGGUUGGUCAUGCCUCUGGUAUGUACUAAUCUCACUGAUUCCUCCCUCUUGACGAACUGUAAUGUCAUUAAUUUGGUGUUGCAGGAAAUCAGGACUGUUACUUUGAAAAAAUUAGAGUGUUUAAAGCAGGCUUAGGCUUGAAUACAUUAGCAUGGAAUAAUGAAAUAGGACGUUUGAACCUAUUUUGUUGGUUUCUAGGAUCGACGUAAUGAUUAAUAGGGAUAGUUGGGGGCAUUAGUAUUCAAUUGUCAGAGGUGAAAUUCUUGGAUUUAUUGAAGACUAACUACUGCGAAAGCAUUUGCCAAGGAUGUUUUCAUUAAUCAAGAACGAAAGUUAGGGGAUCGAAGACGAUCAGAUACCGUCGUAGUCUUAACCAUAAACUAUGCCGACUAGGGAUCGGAUGAUGUUAAUUUUUUAAUGACUCAUUCGGCGCCUUACG
rnacentral:ncRNA from 2 species